rnacentral:rRNA from 1 species
GAGUUUGAUCAUGGCUCAGAUUGAACGCUGGCGGCAUGCCUUACACAUGCAAGUCGAACGGCAGCACGGGAGCUUGCUCCUGGUGGCGAGUGGCGAACGGGUGAGUAAUGCAUCGGAACGUAUCCUGGAGUGGGGGAUAACGUAGCGAAAGUUACGCUAAUACCGCAUAUUCUGUGAGCAGGAAGCGGGGGACCUUCGGGCCUCGCGCUCUUGGAGCGGCCGAUGUCGGAUUAGCUAGUUAGGUGAGGUAAAGGCUCACCAAGGCGACGAUCCGUAGCAGGUCUGA